UAGGGAAUCUUCCGCAAUGGACGCAAGUCUGACGGAGCAACGCCGCGUGAGUGAAGAAGGAUUUCGGUUCGUAAAACUCUGUUGUUAGAGAAGAACAGCGCAUAGAGUAACUGUUAUGCGUGUGACGGUAUCUAACCAGAAAGCCACGGCUAACUACGUGCCAGCAGCCGCGGUAAUACGUAGGUGGCAAGCGUUGUCCGGAUUUAUUGGGCGUAAAGCGAGCGCAGGCGGUCAAUUAAGUCUGAUGUGAAAGCCCCCGGCUCAACCGGGGAGGGUCAUUGGAAACUGGUUGACUUGAGUGCAGAAGAGGAGAGUGGAAUUCCAUGUGUAGCGGUGAAAUGCGUAGAUAUAUGGAGGAACACCAGUAGCGAAGGCGACUCUCUGGACUGUAACUGACGCUGAGGCUCGAAAGCGUGGGUAGCAAACAGG
rnacentral:rRNA from 1 species